UCUCUUCAUUGACUAUAUAUCCAAAUGCCAGGCAGACAUUUUCUAUAAGAACACUAUUUUCAAUGGCACAUAUUUCUUUUUCUGAGUGAAUAGGUAAAGUAUAGUUUAACAACUCUUGACCAACCCUCGGAGGUCGAAAAUUGGCAUUUGGGCUUGGACUAAUCGAUAGUCUUCAAGAACCUAAAGCUUCAUGCUUGACAAAUUUUUAGUCCUUUGUAGUUGUUGCUAGAGCAUUUAAAUGCAAAC
rnacentral:lncRNA from 1 species